CAGCCGCCGCGGUAAAACGGAGGGUGCAAGCGUUAUCCGGAUUUAUUGGGUUUAAAGGGUCCGUAGGCGGACUUAUAAGUCAGUGGUGAAAGCCUGUCGCUUAACGAUAGAACUGCCAUUGAUACUGUAAGUCUUGAGUAUAUUUGAGGUAGCUGGAAUAAGUAGUGUAGCGGUGAAAUGCAUAGAUAUUACUUAGAACACCAAUUGCGAAGGCAGGUUACCAAGAUAUAACUGACGCUGAGGGACGAAAGCGUGGGUAGCGAACAGGAUUAGAUACCCCUGUAGUCCCUGUCUCUUAUAC
rnacentral:rRNA from 1 species